rnacentral:rRNA from 1 species
GAUGAACGCUGACAGAAUGCUUAACACAUGCAAGUCUACUUGAACUUCGGUUUGGGUGGCGGACGGGUGAGUAACGCGUAAAGAACUUGCCUCACAGUUAGGGACAACAUUUGGAAACGAAUGCUAAUACCUGAUAUUAUGAUUUUAGGGCAUCCUAAGAUUAUGAAAGCUAUAUGCGCUGUGAGAGAGCUUUGCGUCCCAUUAGCUAGUUGGAGAGGUAACGGCUCACCAAGGCGAUGAUGGGUAGCCGGCCUGAGAGGGUGAACGGCCACAAGGGGACUGAGACACGGCCCUUACUCCUACGGGAGGCAGCAGUGGGGAAUAUUGGACAAUGGACCAAAAGUCUGAUCCAGCAAUUCUGUGUGCACGAUGACGUUUUUCGGAAUGUAAAGUGCUUUCAGUUGGGAAGAAAAAAAUGACGGUCCAAC